GGCAGUCUGAAGAAGUUCCUGUUUCUGUGACCAGAGCUGCAUUUGUCAUGUUUGAGGUUUUCCUGGUCCCAAAUCCCCAGCUCCACUCUUGGCCCUCACCCCUUCUACGUUACAUCACCCCUCCAAGUACUCAUGUUAAAACUGCCUGCUGUCUGAGCGUCGUCGCCAACGGCCUGAGCAAGUCUGGUGACUGUGGACCAGAAAGUUUCGGCACCUGGGCCUUUGGGGAGAAGAGCAAAGAAGAGCGAAGAUGGCCUCGAGUGAAACAACUGGUACCCAAGGCUAGUCACACCUGGGAGAGCCUCCUGGAAAGAGGAAGCUGCCCGGGACCCAGACACAGGAGGUUUUCAUGUUUCAUUGUAGGAAACCGAUUAACUAACUGUACAGCUUAG
rnacentral:lncRNA from 1 species